rnacentral:lncRNA from 1 species
GCUUACUUAAAAUUUGUAUCUCAGUAAAAUGACGAAGUGUUACAUAAUGUGAAUCUUUGGAGCUGCUUGAGAGUAAUCGAUACCACAAAUUAUUGGAUUAGCAAAUUCCAAGAAUUCCAAGGAUGCUCCCAAAUACCCUUAUUUUGUGCUUGGAUGCUGGCUUUCAAAUGUCCUAUUCCACUGCCUCAAAGAAGAAAGGACUUUCUGUCCUUUGAAACUGGAAAAUACAGGUCAAGUAGAUUUGACGCGGCCCAGCCAUUUUUCAGUUGGCCAAUAAUUCUCGGCUCCCUUGUUGUAUCCAGAGAUGACUUACUCAGAACAGGAAACUAUUUUUUUUUUUUUUUUAAAGAUUUUAUUUUUUCCUUUUUCUCCCCAAAGCCCCCCGGUACAUAGUUGUAUAUUCUUCGAUGUGGGUCCUUCUAGUUGUGGCAUGUGGGACGCUGCCUCAGCGUGGUUUGAUGAGCAGUGUCAUGUCCGCGCCCAGGAUUCGAACCAACGAAACACUGGGCCGCCUGCAGCGGAGCGCGCGAACUUAACCGCUCGGCCACGGGGCCAGCCCCAGGAAACUAUUUUUAAUGAUGUAAUCUCAACUUCAGCAAGCAGGAGUGGUCUGGCUAUUGAUGUGUAUCUACUUAGAGAGAUUUUUGCCUCCUCGGUGGAGCAGGUGACUGUACACCAGCUUUGCGGUUUUGCUUCAUGCUCCCUUUGUGGGUUGUGGAUCAGAGAACACAGGCAUGCCACCUUGAUGAAGAACAGCGAUGCAAGGCACCAAGGACCCUGUAGAAAUUCCUCCACUGGCAACAAAGGACGGAGCUGUAGAGGGAUGUUGGCAUUUGAACCUGUUCCUCGAGAUGCGGGGAAUUCCCAUACCAAGCCCUCUCCACACCACCUCAGAAAGGAUCCUCUGCGUGUGAAGAAAGCAUCAUUGACUUAAUUUCAUUUUCCUGAUUUAACUGGCAUUUUCCAUCAUGAAAUGUUGUUUAGGCUGAAACAGGAAGCAGUGUUUCAUGGAUGAUUGCUGUGUCCCCUUUUAUUCCAGAAGGUUAACUAAAGAGCAGUUGCCUCAGACCCGGAGAACAAG